AUCUUUGCGCUUGGGGCAAUGACGCAGUUACUGAGAUGAAACCGAGACGCGUCAAUUGCUGGUUGAGAACUAUUUCUAGAGGUGUCUCUGUACAACCAUUCAUCCAGAUGGAUUUUCUUCACAGAU
rnacentral:snRNA from 1 species